UCAAUACUUCUUGUUUUUUCCCUUAGCAAAAUUUCCCCAAUUCAGACUAUUCCCCCUAAAUCCCUAAAUUUUCCCUAAGUCUAAAUCCCAACCGAUCUACUAGUGAAGACGCUGACCCUACCACUGCUUCAUUGCCCUCGACUAACCCCUCUGUUGCGUCAUCGUCGGUCUUCGCUAUUGCAGUCAAUCGGUAAAUGUCUCUCCUCUUUCGACAUUUUCUGCUGUUUAUUUUAAUAGAAACCCAAGGAACGUAGAUUUCUAUUGUUAAUGCUUUCUGUUGUUAAUGCUCAGCACUCAACCUUCCUUCGCGUUUAUUGUUUUGAACUAAUUUCAUUGUUGCGGUAAGCUUCUACGAGGCUUCAAUAACUACGUGUUCUGUCACAAUAGUUGACCAGAAGAGUAAACUGGUUCACAUUGGAACAAGACAUUAUAUCUUUCCAUGUAAUAUCGUAUAUGCAUGUAUCUUUAUUAGAUUGUAAAUGGUUGUUAAUAAUUUUCUGAUAUAUAAGUUCCAAAAAAGGAGGGACCUAGCUGAAUUUAUUAUUGCUGCAUUAAGUUUCCUGCUAUCUGCAACAGUGUUUUCGAAUGGAAGCUCACUUAAACUAUAUUAUACAUGCAAAAUCUGAACCUGUACAAAACUUGAAUACCGCCUAUUGAAAUUUGCAGUGUUAAUAACUAGCAAAUAAUUUGAUUUUCCUUUUACAACUCGUUCUGUAUUUACCUAUUAUUUGAUGUCGGUGGUAAAUAAUUUUAUUUAUAAAAAUUUGGGUGAAUUGCAGUCUUGGUCACUGAAAUAUUAAUAAUUUUACACUUUGGUCAGAAAGUAAUCUGGUGGUCUUCAUUUGAGUUUUACUCCUAAAAAAUCCUUUUGGUUUGAAUCCUUGUUGCUUAUCUAAUUGUAUAUAUAGUCUAUCUAGCUUGAUUUAUUUGGAUCUUUUUAACCCCACAUUUUUGUUUAAACAAACCCUAAUUUUUACAUUUUUGUUUCCUUGGUGUUGUGGGUGAUUCAAGGGCAGGCAUAGAAAACCCAUUGGAGUGGCUCUUUUCUAGUAGUUUGGCAUCAAAUUAUCAGGACCUGCAUUUGCUACUCUUUUCAUACACUAAAGCAAUACACAGAAAGCCUAGAUAGCGAAAAGGUUAGUUAAUUUUUUAUUUUUUUUUUCAUUUUUUAAAUUACUAUUCUUGUUUAUCCUUAGAUUAUUUUUCAAUUUCGUGCCUGUUCAUUGUUUGCAGGUGUAAUUUAAAUUUCCAUCCAAUUUAAUCGACUUUACCAUCCAAUUUACAAUUUUUAAGAGGUAUGUAUAUUUACAAAACUGUUUCUCUUAUCCCCAUUGUAGCAGAAAUAUUAUCAUCGUAUCCAUGCAUAUAUUCCACCAUGCUAUUUAUGGCACAGUAGGUCCAUUCAACUCUUUUAAGUAGAACAGAUUUAUCUUAUAUUAAAUAUUGAAAAUUUUAUUAGCAAAUUACACACUAAAAAAAUAAAGCUAGUUUUAAACUUUAAAAUGAUAUUAUUGAAAGAAAACGUUGAAAUGUAAAAGGGAAUGAACUUUAAUAAAUGUUGCCCAAAGCCAACUCUUCAAAGCAGUCUCAAGCAAUUCUGGUAGACAUUACCAUGAAAUGCUUACCUUUUAUCAAUUUAUGAUGUCUUUACAUUUAGUUUCUUGGUAUCUGUGAAAUCCCUUUGUGAUCUCUUUAUUCAUUUGUGUUGGUAAAAAAUUGAAUGGUUGCCACAUUACACAUUUUAGAAUCAUCAUGGUUUGGGAAUUUGCAGGCAUACAUUAGAACUUGGGCUAGAA
rnacentral:lncRNA from 1 species